CUAGAUCGAACAAAUCAUUUACUUGAAAAGCCGAAGCUAUCGCAUUCACAUCAUCAUUAGACUCAACAACAUCAUAAUCAACAUCGUCCUGUGCAUCAAUAUAUUUCAUGCUCCUAGCUAACUUAUAGGUAGCCUACUCCUUGCCAACACACAAGGUGAGGGUCUUCUCAAACACAUCUAUAAUUGCUUUUGAAGUGUUGAGAAAGGUCCUACCUAAGAUUAGAGAAACGUCAUUUUCACUGGUAUCAACUACCACGAAAUUGACGAGGAAUAUAAAAUUUCCAUUUCACACAAAAACAUCUUCCACUACUCCUCUAGGAAUUUAAAGACUUUUAUCCGCUGGUUUGAUUCUCAUUUUAGUCGGUUUAAACUCAUUUAGGUCUAAUGCUUAAUAAACUGAAUUUAUACUAGCACCUAAGUGUGCUAAGCCUUUUUCAAUGUCAAGUGCAUCAAUCCUACAAGUGAUAUGGAAGCUACGUGGAUCCAUGAGCCUUAUAGGGAUGUGUGUGGAGACGACGGCUGAGCAUUGUUCAUUGAGGGUGACAUUUGCAGCUUCCGUUAGUUUCCUCUUAUUGGUGAAAAUCUCCUUCAUGAACAUGGCGUACAGUGGCAUCUUCAAAAUGGAUUCAGUGAAAGGAAGUGUGAAUUGGACUCCCCUAAGC
rnacentral:lncRNA from 1 species